AGGGGUAUAGCUCAGUAGUAGAGCGCGUGCUUAGCAUGCACGAGGCCCUGGGUUCGAUCCCCAGUACCUCCA
rnacentral:tRNA from 1 species